CAGUCUGCCUCCCCCUGGAUGUCUCAGGGCAAUCUGAGCUGUGUCCUGAGUUGUGCAAGCCACUUCCACCCAGGCCGGUCUGAAUUAUGUCCUGGCUGCAGGCUGUGGGUCCUACUUCUGUGCAUGAUGCCACAAGCUGUUCCUACUGAGCCUGACAGCAUAUCUGGGUUCAUGUCCUGCCUCUACCACUGAGCCUACAGUCCAUGAUAUAACUUCCCCUGUCAUGUCUGCCACAAGCAGAGGGUUUGAUGUUUGGAAGCAUCACUCCUGCUCCUCCAUGAUCAGUUUCCUGCCUUGAACAAUUAGCAGUCUGAACAUGGAAGUCCAAACAUCCAGGAAUGCUGUCUUCACUCUCUGACUGUGUUUCAUCACCAACAUGAGUCUGGG